AUGGCUCAGGACGAACGCUGGCGGCGUGCCUAAUACAUGCAAGUCGAACGGUCUUUCUAUGGAAGCUUGCUUCCACUGAGAAGAUAGUGGCGAACGGGUGAGUAACAACGUGGGUAACCCUGCCCAUAAGAGGGGGAGUAACAUCCGGAAACGGGUGCUAAUACCGCAUAGUUUUCUUGAUCGGCAAUGGAAUCGGGAAAGGAAAGACGGCCUUUGUGCUGUCGCUUAUGGAUGGACCCGCGGCGUAUUAGUUAGUUGGUGAGGUAACGGCUCACCAAGACGAUGAUACGUAGCCGACCUGAGAGGGUGAUCGGCCACAUUGGGACUGAGACACGGCCCAAACUCCUACGGGAGGCAGCAGUAGGGAAUCUUCCGCAAUGGACGAAAGUCUGACGGAGCAACGCCGCGUGAGUGAAGAAAAGGUUUUCGGAUCGUAAAACUCUGUUGUCAGAGAAGAACAGGUUGGAGAGUAACUGCUCCAGCCUUGACGGUAUCUGACCAGAAAGCCACGGCUAACUACGUGCCAGCCGCCGC
rnacentral:rRNA from 1 species